rnacentral:rRNA from 1 species
GAUGAACGCUAGCUACAGGCUUAACACAUGCAAGUCGAGGGGAAACGGCAUUAAGUGCUUGCACUUUUUGGACGUCGACCGGCGCACGGGUGAGCAACGCGUAUCCAACCUUCCCAUGACUAAGGGAUAACCUGCCGAAAGGCAGACUAAUACCUUAUGGUCUUCACUGACGGCAUCAGAUGUGAAGUAAAGAUUUAUCGGUUAUGGAUGGGGAUGCGUCUGAUUAGCUUGUUGGCGGGGUAACGGCCCACCAAGGCAACGAUCAGUAGGGGUUCUGAGAGGAAGGUCCCCCACAUUGGAACUGAGACACGGUCCAAACUCCUACGGGAGGCAGCAGUGAGGAAUAUUGGUCAAUGGGCGAGAGCCUGAACCAGCCAAGUAGCGUGCAGGAUGACGGCCCUAUGGGUUGUAAACUGCUUUUGUAUGGGGAUAAAGUCAAUCACGUGUGAUUGUUUGCAGGUACCAUACGAAUAAGGACCGGCUAAUUCCGUG